GGGUCAAAAAUCCGAAUUUCCCUCAAGAAAGCUACCCAGCCUGAAAACCCAAAACCAAAAGGAAAAGCUCUCUCACUGAAGCAAGGUUAGGGUUCUGUUAUUUCUUCUUGGCAUCCUCCCUGUUGCAACCCACAGUCUUGCUCUCUCGCCGGCCCUUGAAUUCGAAUCCACGACAUUAAAAAAACCGGGUCGGACCGGACUGAGCAUUCUGGCACUCGUAGCUGUGUUAAAUGUUGAUAAACAAAAUAAAACCAGUACGGGUGGUGGUUGUUUAAAAUGUUUGGACAAUUGCGAGAAGAAAACAAGGCAAGUGAACAAACAAUUGGACCCAUUACCAGAAUCCUCGAAUUGAGGGGAAAUAUCUCCACCCCCCUCUUCUUCCACCUUUCAGUUACUCACACUCACAACUCAGAAUCCAGAGCAUCGUCAUCAGAUUUACAUUAUCAAUGUCGGGUCUUCUUCUACACUCCUCUUCAGUUGCGAGCGUUCCGUUUGGAGGAAUUGGGAAAUUGAACCAGGAGCGGAAUCAUAAUUCAAUUUUAUCAUCCAAGAAGUCCAUGCGUGGCAGCUAUCUYCGUCUCGGUUGCAACAAUUCUAGAAAUAGCGUCCGAGCAUUUUUCUUCAAUCCUGCAGAGGAUCCUGUCCUCAAAGAAGCUCUUAAGCCUUCGCAGGUGGGCUAUUUGCUGGACUUCUAAGGCUUGAUUUGAACGAAGAACCACUAAAGGAAUGGGUCAAGAGGACAGUGGAAUCUGCUGGAAUCACAGAAGAAGAUGAGACUCAAGCAUCUGUAGCAGAGGAUGGCCCAACCGAGAUUGAGAUUGAAUGAUGUGAUGCCAUGAACGAGCGGAGUGUGAGACUACUUCAUUAUCUGCGUGAAGAUCAGAUGAAACAUUGUACAGAAAGACGACCCAGAAAAUAAUUCAGAAGAUUAGAUUUGAUUUCCAGACCAGAUGGCAGAUUUUGUGCCUAAUGGGAACAUAAUAAUCCGAGAUCCAGUGACAACUUUUACAGGUAGGGCAAAUCCCAAGAAUACUCUUUUUUCUAUUUCUUCGCCAUUGGGAAAGUUGUUGAUCCAUUUUUCUCCACUCGAUCGGAUCAGCAGUAGGAAGUUGAACUUGAGCUGAGCAAGAUAGUUUGUUGGGGUAAAAAGGAUAGUUUUUGAAUGGCUUCCUCAUCUGAAUCGGACGAAAAUAAGUAUCUAUUUGAUUCUGAUGGAUAUUAUGAACGUGAGAUGAAUGAGGAAGCGAUCUCCAAUAAUUAUCUAUAUGAUUCUGAUGGAUAUUAUGAAGACGGUAUACGUGAGAUGUGAGAUGAAUGAGGAAGAGGCGAACCGAUACUAUAAGGCUUUACCGAGGUUUUGUACCCACUUUUCCUCGUACCUAUGCUUUUGGUAUUGUUGUCCCUGAACUAUAUGGGCAAAGGAAGCUAUUAAACAUUACAACAGAGAAAAUGGUACAAAUUUUGAGCUUGUUAAAAUUGUGAAGGCAAAUGGGCUGCUUGUGGUAUGUGCUGAGUGGUAUUCCUAAUACUAUAGAAGUAGAACUUUGUAGGCCAAAAUCUUCUAGUUGAGAAUGUUGCUACAAUAUGUAUGAACAUAUUUUUACUGCUGGGUGUUUUGUGCAUUGCAUAUGAAACCUCGAUUAUGAUUAUUAAUAUAUAUAGGUUUUAUUCG